UAGAAAGUAAUAUAAAGGGAGUAUGGAGGGUUUUGAUCCCUCUAGUGCGGGUUCGAUUCCUGCUUUUCUAA
rnacentral:tRNA from 1 species